rnacentral:rRNA from 1 species
GAGGUGUAGCAUAAGUGGGAGGUAGUUUUUUUAAACUGCCGACAAUGAAAUACCACUACUU